rnacentral:rRNA from 1 species
CGCUUGCGAUGUGCCUAAGGUAUGCAAGUCGAACGAUUCCUGUAUCUUCGGAUACAGGGAGUGGCAAACGGCUGAGUAACGCGUAGGAACCUACCCCAAACUCGAGUAUAGCCCCGCGAAAGCGGGGGUAAUCCUCGAUAGCCCGUGAAGUAUUUUACUUCACGGUAAAGCUUUUGCGGUUUGGGAUGGGCCUGCGUCCUAUCAGGUAGUUGGUGAGGUAAAUGCUCACCAAGCCUAUGACGGGUAGCUGGUCUGAGAGGAUGGUCAGCCAGACUGGGACUGCGACACGGCCCAGACUCCUACGGGAGGCAGCAACUAGGAAUUGUGCGCAAUGGACGAAAGUCUGACGCCGCGACAUCGCGUGGAGGAUGAAGGUCUUCGGAUUGUAAACUCCUUUUCUUACCGAACAAGUUCUGAGUGUAGGUAAGGAAUAAGUGCCUGCUAACCACGUGCCAGAAGCAUCGGUAAUACGUGGGGCACGAGCGUUAUCCGGAUUUACUGGGCGUAAAGAGAAGCGUAGGCGGCUCAAUAAGUUUGGUGUUAAAUCUUCCGGCUCAACCGGAAACAAGCACCGAAAACUAUCGAGAUUGAGUCGAGUAGGGAAGAGGGGAAUUCCUGGUGGAGCGGUUAAAUGCGUAGAUAUCAGGAGGAAUACCAAGGGCGAAGGCACCUCUUUGGACUCGUACUGACGCUGAGGCUCGAAAGCGUGGGUAGCAAAACGGAUUAGAUACCCGUGUAGUCCACGCCGUAAACGAUCCCUGUUAGAUGU